CUUGACACAUGAUUAUUGAAAUUUGGGUUCCAUUCUUUGAGUUUGUUGUUAUUAAUUGAGCUUUGUGAUUGCUAAAUUUAUUAUCUGAUCUUUUAUUAUCAGCUUAUUAGCUGGGAAUUCUUAAUUUAUGAGCAUGAAUAUUAUCUUGGUUCCUAAGUACAAUAUUCUUUCUAACUUAAUUGUUAUGCAGUUUUUUCUUUCCUAGUUUGUCACUUGUGUAAAAAAUGUACAUAUCCAUACCUCAUUUUAUGCUAAAGGUUUGUAAACUUUGUUAGACCUUGAGUUCUGGUCAUCAUGGUACAACACUUACCGUGCCUGUGCCUUAUCAGCACACAGCAUUGACACUAUGCUGGUUGUAUGCCGCUACAUGCUGCUGUGCAGUGCAUGCCAAGCACUGGCCUGUAUAAAUCAUGCAAGUGCCAAUCCAGCAAGCCACUGACAUAGGAAAUUUUAACCCUUGGUUCAAGUAAUUCAUAUCCUAGUUCUAUUGCUUCUCUCUGUGAUUUUGUUCAUUUCUCCUUGAAGGGUUUGGAGGCUUGGUUUGCUUCUUAUACUUGUUUGUUUAUCCUAGUCACUUAAAGAAACAUAACUUGCCAGGACCAAUCUAGCGAAAUGUUUUUCUGUACAAGUGGAAGAAAAUGACUAAUACCUGAUUAAGUUGAAAUAUUACCUACCUUUGUUCUUGAAAGAACAAUGUGGAUUACUACGUCAAAGGCCUAUUAUUGUUUACGAUAAUGUGACUUCCAAAUUAAUGCCUUUCUCUGCAUUUCUCUGUUUACAACUUUACAUUCUAACCUAACAAACUCUAUGGUCAUGAAAGCUUCAAGAAGCAUUGAACAUACAAUCUGUGAAGGGGAUUCUUGUUUGUCAUGCUCAUUCAGACCCAAUAUGCAGCCAUAAAAUCCUAACAAAGUAUUGAUCUACUAUAAAUGUAGCAGGGGAAUGCAUCUAACAAUGCAUUGCAAUAUUGACAUGUUCAACAAACUUAGCUUUCAAUAUGCUCUUCCAUUUUGAGUUUCUAUGUGAUGUAGCCUUGGUUUAUUGUAUAAAAGUACUACUUUGUAACCUGGACUUGUCAGGAUGCUUUUGUGUUGCCUUGUGUGACAUAUAUUUUGAUGUCACAUAAAUCACUCUGUGCCUUGCUGUGCCAGUAUACCUUUGAGUUUAUUGUUGAGGGAUAGAUGAUUGCUGAAUAUAGACAUAUGGUUAAAAUGUAACUUAGAAAACAUAUCUAGAUCCAGAAUUUCACUCCUGAUGAACCUGGAAAUUAACCAGCAUUGCAUAGUUAAUAUUGCAUGUAUUUUCCUUUUUAUUUUUUUUAACAAUAAAUGUGAUAAUAGACAAAGUGCCUUUCAGUGGUUGGACUGAGGGCAGGGCAAUGAAGAUGUUUCAAUUGAAGAGGAUUUCUUCCAGCAGUGGUUUUAACCAGUUUGCUGCAAUGAUCAAAACCCAACAUAUACAAAGUAUACCAAAAGGAGUGGAUGUAUUCUAGGGAAGCCGGUAACUGUUACAAGCUUAUACAUGAAUGAAGAUUAGUGGUAGAAAUGGAGUUGGGAUAUUGCUGAAGAAGAAUGGAAGAAAAAAAUGAUGCAAAUUGGACUGGCUAAUGGCUAUUGAGUUGGAGUUAUUGGAGGAGAUAUUUAAUGGUUAUAUGUAUGAAAAGUAGGAUUUGAGGGGGCAAAAUAGGAACCAAUGAAUGAACUAGUGUAAUAAUCAUGGAGAUGUAGGAUAGCAAUGCAAAGCCUGUUUUGUUUCUUUGCUUUUCAAUUCCUAUGAAUUUGUCGUGGCAAUUUACAUAUAAAAAGUAAAACACUGUUUAACUGACUUUUUGUGAUUCAAUCAAAUGCUUUAUAUUUUUAUUGUUUUCUCCUAGCAAAAUGAAAUCAUCGACAUGCAAAACUUUUGAAGUAGUAUUCUGUGAUCUACUAAUAAAACAUACAGUAGUUGGGAACGUUUAUAGUAAGAGCAAAAAAAGAAAGAGGGAGAUAAACCAUAAAUCACCAUUAAAUAGUAAAUAUAUAAUAUACUUAUGAGUAAGUUGUUAUUGGAAUUUGAAACAUGCAAAAAAACAGCAUAGACUGUAAUGGCAAAUAGAGAAAAAAAUUGAUGAAGAAUAUUUGGAGAAUAUAAUGCCAAAGUUAUGAUGGAGACCAGAAAGCUAUUGGUUAUUUCAUCUCAUAAAGAAUCAUAUAUCAAGUUGGACCUGAAAGAUAGCUAUAAUGAAAAUAUUGAAACAGCUUAGGUGAAGGAGAGGCGAACUGAAAAUAUAGAUCAAAUUAGGCACCAGAAGAGAAGACACUUAUCCUUUCCAUAGAUGGUGAAAUCAAAGAAAUAGAUGGGUUAAGUCUUAUGCCAGUUGAUGACUUUAUUACAGUAACCAUAACUGGGGAUGAUGCAUGUAUACUUUUUGCUCAAUAUAGAUCAUUGAUGCUGAUAAAAUUUUGAAAUGUAUGCUACAGUUGAAGGCAUUACAGACGAAAUUGUGUUUGUUCAGAAAUUCAUAAAUAGCUGAGUUAGUAUGGUUGGGUAGCACAUGUUGUGGGAUUUUUAAGAAAAGUCUGAGGAAAAGAUUAUACUGAAAAAAAAUAGUUGUCAGUAUAAAGGUGGUACAUGGAGGUGCUAGCUUUAUGGAAUGCAAUAUCAAGUUAUGGGACAUAAAAACUUUGAAAAGAAAAUAAUAAAAGGAUCAUUAUUUGGUUUGUCUUUUUGCCAAAGAUGAUCAUCCGAAAAGCUAUUCAGAAGUGUUAAGAGUAGAAUACUCAGCUGAUGUAAAGAUUUAGAGAUGAGAAUCUUCACUUAUGGCAUUUCUAGAUGAGAAAGCAUCUGAUACAGUUUCUUGAGAUAUACUUUGGUCAAAAUUAAGUCAGUAUUGUUUCCUGGAAGGAUAUGUUAGAAAUGUUCAUGAAGAAUGCAGAUUUUAGUUUUGGUCAAAAUAUAGGAGAUACGGUGUGGGCCAGAUUGCCCAAUCCUUUCCUCAAAAAAAAAAGGAGAAGUUGUAGGCCAAAUAUGACAGCCAAAAAUUAAAUUGUGCUUAUUUUUGUUCUCUUCGAACUACUGUACAAAAUAAUUUGAAACUAUAUCAAGGCACAUCUAAUAAUGUAGAACUUAUCUUAGUGAAUAAGUGUGGUGUUUCUGUGUAUGAAUUUGUUGGUUUCCGCAAAUCUGCAAUUCUACUCAUCAGUCUGUUACAUUGCUUUUCUACUGAUUUGUUUUAAAACAUUAGUCUAUGUCCUGUAUGUCAGUGGUCAUGCUGAAGGAUGUAUAACUAGUGCCUCUGAGAUUCUUGUUGUUAGGCAACACCAUGUCCAUGUUGGUCAUAUUACAUAAUGUUUACACCUAACUCAACCAAGCUGUGAAACUGACUAUCUCACCCUGCACACACACACACACAAAAAAAAAAAUCUACUUCCAUGGUCAUUGCUGAGUCAAGAAAAAGGAAAAAAAAAAUCUGUAGCUUGAAGGAAGAUAGAGAGAGCAAGAGCAAGCACAUUGCAGCCGCUACAUUUUUAUUGCAGAGUUCUUCUCUUUGAAACCGUACAAGUUUAUUCCUCAGUUUUAUUCUCCUUGCUUAUAUUCAAGGUAUUCGAAGAGUAAGUUCUGAUAAUAUUGUUCUUUACAUCAUUGCUCAAGAAACAUGGAACUGUUUUAUAGACAUGUUAACAAAUAGAGUCAAUAUGAUUGCUGUAGCUAUUCAGCUGAAAACUGAGAUAUAACCAACCUUUUCAAUUCAGUACGAGGCUGUCGAAGCUUUAUUAAAUCUGGCAAAAAAAUCUUUUAUAUUUGUGAUCUAGGACAGGCUCACUAUUCAUUAGCAGAACUCAUUCAUCUAGGACCACCAUUUCUCAAAUGCUGCCUUAGCUUUUUCCAAAUGGAUUUUCUGAGGUAUGUCAACUAUUUUAUUAAAUGACAUUUGUAACAAGGAUAUUAGGCUAGUGACCUUUUAUGUCAGUUGUCCUGUAGUUAGUGAUUUUUGAGUGCCAUCCAAUAUCAAACUGCCCCCUGAAACUUUAAUACUUCUUCCCCUUGGAUUGUGGGAGUAUCCACUAUUUUGCUUGCCUGACAGGUUGGGUGGCUUGUACCGUGUGGUGCAAAUUGGUUGGGUCCGGUAAGGUUUGACAUCAACCUAGCCUAGCUUGAAAGAGGUCGGUUUGGUUUAGAAUUUGGGUCCAAAUCGGGACAUGCUCAUUAAAAUUACAUCCAGCGGGGUGGGAAUUUAGGCGGUGUCUGGUUGACGGUGAAUAUUAUUCGAGGCAUCUAAACCACUCAAUUCUUUACGUGGGCCUGUGAAAAAGAAGACUCUAGUUGCUUUUCUUACAGUCAUUACUACGAUGCCACAUGUUAGGCAUUCGCUUGUAGGUGACUGACCCACAUAGAAAUAGGCACAAUCACAUUGCUGAGCUCUGAUUCCACUUUCAUCUGGCCUUGCCUGCCCGAACUGUCACAUUGCUCUCAGUCCUCGUUUAGCUUCUCGCUUUUGUUGGGCUGAAAAGUGAAUCAAAAGCAGGGAAGAAUAGGAUGAGACUGAAAAAUUUUCUAGUCUUUGAUGGAACAAAGAAAAUGGAAGAGAAAGUUAUAAUGAUGAUGAUUUAAAUUUGAUUUGGUCGUAUUGAGAUGCUUCUUUCCUAUAUGAUUAGUCACUGGGCAAAGAUUUCCUCUGGAGCUUCUUGUCUUUUUUCCUUUUUUUUUUUUUGACGCAGGAUUAAAGGGGAGAAACAAGAGGCGUCUACCAUCCGUUUACCAAUUACAUAAGAAACAAAAAAUUUUAGCACAAAUCACAACCUCUUCAAACCCAGGAUAAGUAAGUUUGCAGUCAUAUUACCAGGUAAAUUGAAUUCCAUCCUUAUGUCAUCUUGAAUGUAUCUCAGCCAGAGUGAGAAAAGUAAAAUUUUGAACCAUUGGGGGCAAAAAAUCAUCCAAAACCAAAUCAUAUUGCCUGGUCUGUCAUUUUAUUUUUCACAAGUGGGAUCUCUAUCACUGUAGGAUGGAAAAUGAGGCAUUCACCAAACCCUCAGACACUCGCUGGUCUGUCCGUCACCUGAAAAGGUGGAUGCUCUGAGAAAAACAUAUCCCACAUCAUGUGCGCUCUGUUAUAGAAACAAUCCAAGAAAGGCGAGGGCAAGAAUCCACGAAAUUUGUAGGCCCCAUAAGAUGAUGAAUGGCGGCGAUAGAAAUGAAGAACGAGAUUGGCAUGACACACACCGCCGAUGUACACGUAUUGAAGGUAGGUAUAAUUUCUCAGAAGCUAUAGUCAAGCGCAUGCCUCAGCUGCUUCGAGGCAACGUUUGCAUCUCUCAUCCAUUUCUUAGACAAAAGAUCAUAUUGAAAGGUAUUUAGGUGCUAGAUAUGCGCAAAUCCAGUAAGGUCAGAGCUACAAAUCAGGGUCUAAAUCUCGAUCUAGAAGUCUAUUUGAGAUGAUUUGGUAUGAGGAACUCGUGUGGGCAUAUAUAUAGUCCCACAUCGAUGAUUAACUAGAAAGAUCUUGGAUAUUUAUACAAAAUCAAAAAAUUCAAAUAAUAUCUUUUGACUAGUCUUUUUGAAAGCAUUUGAUAAUCCAACUUAGAUUAUCAUGAUGAUCUAAAAUCACUGAUGAUUCAAAUUCGGAGAUGAUCUAAUUUCUAGUGAUCUAACAUCACUAUGUUUGGUUUGUAGAUCUUGAAUUGUUAUAAAUGGUAUUAAAGUGGAUCCAAUCCAUAAUUCAUGUGGACUCAGAAAUACCGUCCUAAGAAUUCAUGGAGUUGAUCACAAACUUUGGACCCUCAGCCUAACGAAGAUACUAGACUUAAAUAAGAAAAAUGUGUGAGGAUUCAUGCAGACAUAUAUUUAAUCCCAUAUCGAUAUCAUUUUUUCGCUGAAAAGAUUUUGGAUACUUAUAUAGAAUUAUAGAAUCUAAAUAAUACUUUCUGUCUAAUCUUUUCGAAUAAGAUCCUCAAUCAUGAUAAUUGAUGUUAAUAUGGAUCCACAUCCAAUCCAACCCACUUGUAUCCUAGCUCGGAUUGCUUGAAUUAGAUGAGUUUGGGUUCAAAAGGUUGGAAUUUAGGCCCAACCUUUGCCUUUUUGAGAGGGAAAAAUUUUUUGUGCACCGCGAGUGCGCGAGUUCGUAUACUGCAUACGGUACUUGGCUUACACGUGGAGACGACAAAUUUUUUUUUUUUUUUAUACACUGUCCGACUUUGUGCGAACCAAUUACCGUGCACGGUGCGCGUCUUCCGCACCGCGCGGUGCACAAAGAAUUUUUCUUUUGGGAGGUACUCAAGCUUUGUGACACAAAGGCGCCGGCAGCAGGCUUUUGGCCUGUUGGCGUCCAAUUUCAACAAGCUUGUUUCUAGAAGAAAUCUUUCCCAAUGGACGGCCAUGAUGGACCCAUCAAGGGGUCCACCGGAUUGGGACUGCACAAUUGAGCCUAGGAGCUUUCGCCUGAUCAAAGCGUCCAGUUCACAGUCCACGUGAUGCGGUCCACUUCGCGCAUUGUGUCUUCUGCUUGUUGAUUUUGAUGCAUGGUGGUUGAUGGACAUGCAUGCCGGACCCAUCUGAGAACAUGCAGGGCCUCGUCAUUUGGAUGGUCUGAUUACUGAUGAGCCAUCAUGAUCUGUCAAAAAGGGCCCAUAAAGAUUUGUGCCAUAUAAUUGGGGGUCCCCAUGGCGUGGGUUGUACUCUUGUCAGGCUUUUGGCAUGGUUGAUGGCCCAUAACGCCACUGCUCGGAGCUCCAGCUUGUGAAGAGGCACCAUCACUAUCUUCACUUUCUUGAGUAAUUUGAAAGUGCUAGCGCUUCUUUUAAUGUAUUUGAUAUUUUUCAUCUAUUAUCAACUUUACAUUUUUUCA